GCGGCUUUAGCUCAGUUGGGAGAGCGUUAGACUGAAGCCAAACUUCGGGAUUUCUGUCAUCUAAAGGUCACCCGUUCAAGCCGGGUAAGCCGCA